GACAACUGUUGUGCUCAGGAUCCCGCCGGGCCAACUGUUCCUUUGUUGAUAUCCAUGUCUGUAUCACCAUGCAUAACCAAAAGACUGUCUCUCUCUCUCAGACCAUCACCCUGCUGCUUUUAUGGUGUGGAAAAUAAAGAACUUACUUGGUAUUUCAGAAUGGUCACUUUGGACACUGAGGAAUCACAAUGUCCUGAAACGGGUCAAGGACAGGAUUCUUCAGUUUCCCUUGGCAGUGCCUCAGCCUUUGUCAGGCUGCUGACAGGAGACUGGAGAGCAGCAGUAGGAGCAUGGACUUCUCAUUGAGAGGCCAAGGCAAAACUCUGCCAUGCAUAGUUGUAAGACCAACCUUGACUCCAGAGGAAGACCCUGUCCUACAAAGCAAAAAAUAGUAAAUGAAAUUGUUCUUUUUUGUUGAAAGAGAAAUGUUAAAGCCCAUGUUUAGGCUAUAGAAUAAAGCACAGCUUUGUUUUUGGUUUUGA